AGACCCGAAACCCGGUGAUCUAGCCAUGGGCAGGUUGAAGGUUGGGUAACACUAACUGGAGGACCGAACCGACUAAUGUUGAAAAAUUAGCGGAUGACCUGUGGCUGGGGGUGAAAGGCCAAUCAAACCGGGAGAUAGCUGGUUCUCCCCGAAAGCUAUUUAGGUAGCGCCUCGUGAAUUCAUCUCCGGGGGUAGAGCACUGUUUCGGCUAGGGGGCCAUCCCGGCUUACCAACCCGAUGCAAACUGCGAAUACCGGAGAAUGUUAUCACGGGAGACACACGGCGGGUGCUAACGUCCGUCGUGAAGAGGGAAACAACCCAGACCGCCAGCUAAGGUCCCAAAGUCAUGGUUAAGUGGGAAACGAUGUGGGAAGGCCCAGACAGCCAGGAUGUUGGCUUAGAAGCAGCCAUCAUUUAAAGAAAGCGUAAUAGCUCACUGGUCGAGUCGGCCUGCGCGGAAGAUGUAACGGGGCUAAACCAUGCACCGAAGCUGCGGCAGCGACGCUGAUGCGUUGUUGGGUAGGGGAGCGUUCUGUAAGCCUGCGAAGGUGGCCUGUGAGGGUUGCUGGAGGUAUCAGAAGUGCGAAUGCUGACAUAAGUAACGAUAAAGCGGGUGAAAAGCCCGCUCGCCGGAAGACCAAGGGUUCCUGUCCAACGUUAAUCGGGGCAGGGUGAGUCGACCCCUAAGGCGAGGCCGAAAGGCGUAGUCGAUGGGAAACGGGUUAAUAUUCCCGUACUUGGUGUUACUGCGAAGGGGGGACGGAGAAGGCUAUGUUGGCCGGGCGACGGUUGUCCCGGUUUAAGCGUGUAGGCUGGUUUUCCAGGCAAAUCCGGAAAAUCAAGGCUGAGGCGUGACGACGAGGCACUACGGUGCUGAAGCAACAAAUGCCCUGCUUCCAGGAAAAGCCUCUAAGCAUCAGGUAACAUCAAAUCGUACCCCAAACCGACACAGGUGGUCAGGUAGAGAAUACCAAGGCGCUUGAGAGAACUCGGGUGAAGGAACUAGGCAAAAUGGUGCCGUAACUUCGGGAGAAGGCACGCUGACAUGUAGGUGAAGUGAUUUACUCAUGGAGCUGAAGUCAGUCGAAGAUACCAGCUGGCUGCAACUGUUUAUUAAAAACACAGCACUGUGCAAACACGAAAGUGGACGUAUACGGUGUGACGCCUGCCCGGUGCCGGAAGGUUAAUUGAUGGGGUCAGCGCAAGCGAAGCUCCUGAUCGAAGCCCCGGUAAACGGCGGCCGUAACUAUAACGGUCCUAAGGUAGCGAAAUUCCUUGUCGGGUAAGUUCCGACCUGCACGAAUGGCGUAAUGAUGGCCAGGCUGUCUCCACCCGAGACUCAGUGAAAUUGAACUCGCUGUGAAGAUGCAGUGUACCCGCGGCAAGACGGAAAGACCCCGUGAACCUUUACUAUAGCUUGACACUGAACAUUGAGCCUUGAUGUGUAGGAUAGGUGGGAGGCUUUGAAGUGUGGACGCCAGUCUGCAUGGAGCCGACCUUGAAAUACCACCCUUUAAUGUUUGAUGUUCUAACGUGGACCCGU
rnacentral:rRNA from 2 species